rnacentral:lncRNA from 1 species
GCCGCCCUCCGGCCUAGCUCCGGACAGGCCCCGCCCUUGGGGUCCCGAGCUUUGGGGAGGGACUGUCAGUAAGCUCUCCUUGCGCCUUCCGCCUGGCGGAAACGACCCGCCCGGUGGAUCCCAGGACCUGCAAGCUCUGGGUAACGGCCCCACUUUUGGGCCACUCUAUCCCCUUAGCUUGGGGAACCGUCCUCUCCUUCCUAAUCGGCCCCAGGAGAUGCCUGCUCUGUCACCUUAGCGAGGACAGAUUUCUGCCCAUCCCCUUCGUUUCAGAUUGCCGUCCCCUCCCCCUCAGUUCUGGAAGAUGUCUGCUCCAUUCCAUCGUCCCUGAAGGGUAACCGAUCUUAUCCCCGUUGGCCCCUUGGGUUGCUCACUCCACUUCCUUCGUCCGCUCUCCCGGGCAGUGGGAAACAGACUAUUCCCUCCCCAUCAAUUCUGGGAAUGGUCGCUGAGGUUCUUUAGCAAAGACAGGCCUGCUACCCAGCCCCUAGUCCCAUAGUGAUGGCGCCCCUACCUCUUUCACCCCAUGGGCUGUUUGCUUCUUCUUAGCCAGGGGCAAGACCACUCUGCCUUCUGCCUUCCUGGGCCAGAAGAUAACAGGUUUUGUCUCCAGUGCCAGUGGUAUCUUGGAAUGGCCUCUCCAUCCCUUUUGCCCUGAAGAUUGCAUCCCCCUCCCACCACCCAUAGGAAACUGGCUACUCUUUCCCAUCACUGCUGGAGUGCUCCCUCUCAGCAAAAAUAGGCCUGCUCCCAGUUCAAUGAGUAUUCUGCAACUGUAUCCAUUUCUUCCUUGGCCCCAGAGGAUAUCCAUUUUUGCCCAUAGAUCCCGUGGAUUUUCCGUUGUAUCUCUAUAAGCUGCUUGGUAUGUCUAGUAGCCCCUUGGGAUGGGAUUCAUCCCAUUCUCUAGUCUCUCUAUAAAGACCACCUUUCUAAGUUUGAUUAAUCAUGUCCUCCACUCCCAUGAUCAAUUUUUUCCCCCUCCCUUUGCUCCUGGAGUUAGCUGCUAGCUGUUUAGCUUAGGAGACAGGAUGGCCACUAUCUUAGCUCAGCAGCUUCCCUGCUUCCCCCUAAGGAUAGGAGCUUGGUCAUUCCCAGUCCCUGUCAGUACUCUCUUCCCCAUGCUUCCCCUCCCUAACCCAGGCUGUACUUCAAAGUCAUUCUCCUCUCAGUAAUCAUCUGCUUUAUCUCCCUAUCCCUUCCCUGAGCAAAUCUUUGGUGAAAAUAGAGGUAGAGGACUGCCUAUCCUUACUAUAAUCCUGUAAGUAUUGACAGAGCAUCUCAUAUAUGUUCAGCAUCUGAGAAGGGAAGGAGAAAUCAGAGUGGAGUAGUGAAAUCAAGCUUAAGGAAUGACAACCCAAGAAAGAGGCCCACAAGACAUGCUGGGGGCAGUAGAAAGGAUGGAUCAGGGAAGCUCUGGGACCAGUGGACCAGAUCAGGCAUGGAGACCUGGCAGUUCUGCCUCAGGAGUGGAGAUUUUUUCCUGAGAGGACUGAAUAACCCUGAAGGUUUCCAUCAGGAGUAUGCUGAAACAGGAAACAGGUUUUGUUUUGUUUUGUUUAGGACAGUUAACCUUGUGACAGUACAGAAGGGAUUAGCUAAGUUGAACUUGAAGGUAAGGUCAAGAUUGUGGAAGGAAUCCAGGUCUGGGGUGAUGAAGAUCUUAGCUGCUAUAGUGGUAAAGUUGUAAAGGUAGAAAUAUUAGUAACAGUAAUCCAGCAACCAUUUAUGGAUCAUCUAGUCCCUAUAAGACUAUGAUCUAGAUUUUUUAAAAUGUCUAUUUCAUACAUACAGAAACUGAAGUUCAGAGAGGUCAAGUACACUGCCUGAAGAGACACAGCUAGGAAGUAAUGGAGCUGGGAUUUGAAUGAGUCUUGGUUAGUGUUUCCUAAAGCCUCUAUUUUAUACUUGUAUUUUGAAAUAAGGGAUAGAAGAACAUGAGUCCAAAGUGUUACCAGGACCUUCAGAUGGGGUGCACUAUUGGCAUUAAAGGGGAAAGUUGGACUGAAGGCAAAAUAUCAAGGUGAUGGUGAGUCAUUUGGGAAGAUAGUUGGCAAUACUGCACUUGCACUUAGUACGUAGGACAAUAUGAGGCUCUUGUUGGUUGUUUAUGUAUGAAUAAACUGAAGAUCAAAAGAUCCAAGUAUGAGGCCUGGGAGUCACAGAAGAAUCCAGAAGCAGGCCAAAAAGAAUGCUGGGCUAAGGCCUAGAAAACAAUGUUACAGGUCUCAAGAAAGGAAGAUUUGAGAAGGAAAAAAAUAGCUAAUAAAUUGUUCUUAGCCUCACAAGUGACCCAUUUCCAGUCCCCUUUAGAGCAUCCAACCUUACCACCCCAGCCUCAUAGAGCAUAGAUGGAAGAGAGGCAGAGGCUCCCAGGGUGGGUCUUGCCGGGAUCAUUUCUUAAUAGCCAGUUAAGAAGGCAAGUUGGCAUUGGAGAAUUUGGAAAGAGUGAGGGUCCCAGAGCUGAACUUGUGAGGGCAGGAGGAGGAAGUGGGGCUUCAGAGAAUCAAAGGAAGAUAUUUGACUUACCAUGUUCCAGAUCUAUGCAAGACACUGUGCUGUUACUUAAUUCUCACAGAAACCCAUUUAAGUCUCAUUACAUUGCCAUUUUAUAGAUAAAGAAAACAAAGGAUCAGAGAGAUCAUUAACAGAUUAGGGAUUUGAAACUAGGUUUAUAUGGCCCCAAUACCCCAGGCUUUUUCUAUUAAACUGGGCAGGAAGUUUGAUUUUUACCAGUUAGUAUAAGUGUGCAUCCAGAGAGGGCUCAGGAAAGGUUUACUCACAGUGAAGAUGCCUGGAAGUUGGAGAGGGGAAGUGAAUACUCUGUGAAACUUCAGAUCCAAAAUGAAUCCACUGUGCUAUCAGCUGGAGUAGGUUCCAAAGGACCCCCAGCUCUAACAGCCCCAAUGCCCUGUCUUUUUCCCUCAGAUGCUCACGUAUAUUCUGAGCUUCCUUCCUCUGUCAGAUCAGAAAGAGGCCUCUCUCGUGAGUCGGGCUUGGUACUGUGCAGCCCAGAAUGCCCUUCGGGAGGUAAGGUACCACCCACCUGACCCAUUCUCAGUUGUCUGUCACUUCAGCUUGCUCACAGUCCUGUUCAUAUGUCAUCCAUCCAUCCAUCCAUCCAUUCUAAUGUACUCACACGUCCAUGCAUACUGGGCUUAGGGCUGGGGUUAUACAGAUGAAUAAGAUAGUUUUCUAAGGAGCUCAUAGUCCCAUGCAGGAGAAAGACAAGUAGCAUAAAUGAUCAUGAUAUCAUGUGCACAGUGUUGUGGCCCUGUCAUGGAAGGGUGCAACAGGGACCUGAAGAAGGAUAUGCAAAUAAGGUUGACCAGUAAUUCCAGGGAAGGCCUCCUUGAGGAACAGGGUGAAGAUGAAGGUUGGUUUUCCCAGACCAAUAACAGCACAGAUAGAGACACCAAGAUGUUGGAUAGUCCUGGAAAUGACCACACAAGUUCCAUGUGAGAUACGUAUGGGAGAUGAGACUAAAACGGAGGCAGACUGUAAGCUGACAGAUGUGCCAGACAGCAGAGUUGGGUUUUCUCCUGAUUAUCAUCUUGGGCCCUUUAAGGAAUGUUAAGGCAAGCGAGUGACAGUUUGUGACUGUAUGUUAGAAGCUCUGCAGUACAGUUGGACUGGAGAGGGCAAGCUUGAAAGUAGGGAGGCAGCCUCGCCAGGAGGUAAAUGCAGACCUCUUACUAGUUUGAAAGGCAAACAAUAAUAGCUCUUGGAACUGAUUUCUUUUAUGAUCAGUGAGGUUCAACAGUUUUUCUCAUUAGCUUACCAUUUGUAUUUCCC